rnacentral:rRNA from 1 species
UUGAGGUCAAAUUUGAUAUGAAGYUGUCCGAAGACCAUU